rnacentral:lncRNA from 1 species
UUUAUGUUUUGUAAGAAAACUUCCAUGAUCUCUUGAUUUAUCAAACAUCAACCAACAUAAACCAACUUAAUACAUAUUAAAACAUCUUAUACUCAUGGAUUUACCAUGAUCCAUGAUCUAUUUUAUCAAACUCUUACCAUAAACAAACAAAACAUAAUCUAAACCAAGAAGAGUCAUGAGACCAUGGUUGAGAAAACUUUUCAACCUUUGCUAGGAAUGGUUGGAUGAUGGCUAUUCCUUUUUGGAUGAGCUUGAUAUCCCUCUUAUCUUUUCUCCUCCCUAACCAUGGCUUCCCCCCUUCCAUUCCCUCUCAAGCUCUCAAGUUUUUCUAAGAUUUUGGGUGAGAAUGAUAGGGAGAAGUCACUCCUCUUCUUCCACUUCUUUCUUUUUCUUCUCUUCUCUUAUUUCUUCCUCCCAUGGCAGCCCUCUUCUCUCUCUUCCUCUCUAUUUUGGUUGGAUGUGG